rnacentral:rRNA from 1 species
UACGUAGGUGGCUAGCGUUGUCCGGAUUUACUGGGCGUAAAGAGCGCGCAGGCGGUCGUUCAAGUCGAGUGUGAAAGCCCCCGGCUCAACUGGGGAGGGUCACUCGAUACUGAUCGACUCGAAGGCAGGAGAGGGAAGCGGAAUUCCCGGUGUAGUGGUGAAAUGCGUAGAUAUCGGGAGGAACACCAGUGGCGAAGGCGCUUUCUGGCCUGUUCUUGACGCUGAGGCGCGAAAGCUAGGGUAGCAAACGGG